rnacentral:sRNA from 1 species
GCUCCCGCGCCGCGCCCGGCCGCCUUCAUGUGAAGCGCCGGCCCUCCGCCCCUUCCCUCCCCUUCCUUCCCUCCCUCCCUCCCUGUCCCCUCCUCCUCCUCCUCCGGCGCCCGCUUCAGCUCCCCGGGGCCCCCUGCCCGGCCGGGCGCUGACAGCAAGGGCGGGGGUCCCCGCCGCCGCCGUGUCUCGCGCAGGGUCCGGCUGGGGUAGCGGAGCCCCCCGUGCGGCCAUGGAUCGGCCCCUGUCGUCGUCGGCGGAGGCGGAGGAGGAACUGGAGUGGCAAGUGGCGAGUCGCAGGAGGAAGGCCUGGGCCAAGUGCCGUAGCUCCUGGCAAGCGUCGGAGACGGAGGAUCUGUCCACAGAAGCGACGACGCAGGACGAGGAGGAGGACGAGGAGGAGGACCUCCCCGGCGCGCAGCUGUCGGCAGCGGGGGGAAGAGGAAACGUGCCCAACGAGAAGAUCGCGAUAUGGCUCAAGGACUGCCGGUGAGUGCUCCCUGGCCCGCCCGCGUCCCGGGGGAGAUCCGUGCGGACGGGACGCCGGAGCAGAGCCACUCGGGCCGCGUCCCUGUGGGUCCCGCGACCGUUGUAAGCUACAAACCGGAAAGUGAGCCGGCGGAUAGCUUCCUCCUCUAAGCGAUUAGAAAUGGAAGUGCUGUGACCGCUGAUUAUUUGGUGACCGUGUUGACUUUACAGUUAAACUUGAGCUGCUAACGCAUCGUGUUAGCAUCAGAGAUCAGAAAUCCAAAACAGAUAAUCAUGCCGUAUUUGUUCUGUUUUUAUUUGAAAGAAUUCUCACAUCUCACAGGAUAUUUUAUUUUGCUUUAGUUUUGGCAUCUGUACAACUGGCACGGAAUCAUUUUCCUUUCAAAUGUGUUUUAGACGAGUUUAAUUUACCAACUACACUAAAUGGGCUUUAAUUUUAUUUCUGUUUGGGGAGCUAUUAAAACUAGCUAACUUUGUACUUAUAGUUUACUUCUUGAACAUGGAAUCGUCAGAUGGCACUGGAAUUCUCAGGGAAUAGAACUUUUAAAAGCAUUCAGACUGCAUAAAUCUGUUUAAUUACAUGCUUUGGCAACUGGUACAAAAAUGUUUGAUAAAAUACAGAGGAGAUGAAUCAUGUUGCAAGUAAAUCUGACUACAGCAAAAUGUACUUGUUUCUUAUUUUUUCCAGUUUAUUUGCUAGUUGUAAAAUCAGGAAUGUAGCCUUUAAACUUUUGUUGAUGUUUGCUUUCGAGCAUAGUUUUGCCUUUUCAAUUUAGACUUUCUUAAUAUUUUGUUCAAAUAUUAGAGUUAGGGUAGUUUGUUUUGUUUUAUUGUAGAAAGUGAUUCAUAUGCCAGUUUGCCUCCUCUAAAGACAGACAAGAUAUUGGCUACCGUGAUAUUAAAGCCUUGUUUUGAUGAAUCGACUGGAACCUUAUUGAACGCUCUUUAUUACAGAACUCGUACCCUUUAUUGGAAGUGUCAUAGACCCUUCUGAAAUAUGAUGACAUAUAUGGAAUAACUUCUCUUUAAAGAUGCACAGAGGCAAAUACACUGCUUGAAAUCCUUGGACCCCAGAUUUACAAUCUAGCUGUAAAUCAAUCUCCCCGUUUUCAGAUAAGCCUUAGAUAUUAGUUACUUCACUCAAAGUAUGGAUCAAGAAAUUGUAUUAAUGUGCUACUGGUUCAUUUAAUUGUUAAAUACUAAAAUAGUCUAUAAUUUAAAAGCUUGAAAUUUUGAAUAUACAUGUUCAGGACCUUUUGGGUGAGAUCUGAUGAAACUAGUAUCUUUCAGGUUUCCUCUUAGAAAUAUGUCUGAGAAGUUGUUUUGUUACUUUUACUUAAGUCUUUUAAAGCCUCCAAUCUGACUCUUUAUUUAAAUACAGUCCUAAGUACAGUAUUGACUUACUUUAGGUUUCUUAAAAUAGGUUUAGCAUUACAAAUACAUUUAUAAUGUUUUAUUGUUUAAAUUCAAGUGCAUAUUCAAAAGAAUUUUAAAAAUUAACAAGAGAAGAAUCACACUAUAGUUUAAUGACAUAUAGGAUUUAAGAUUGUGUAAGAGAUCCUAUCAAUUAGACAGUAAAUAAGUGCAUCUUUUUUGAGACAAAUGCAGUAGGCAAAUGUUGACAUUCACCAGGGCACAGUCAAUCCCUGACAAUUUCAGAAGUUUUGUUGCCAAUACUGAUUUAUGUGGGCAGAUUCUGUAGUCUGCUGCUCCUUCUCUCAUGGAUUUCCUUCUUGUUCCUACAGUUGCACCUAUUCUACACGAGUGGCAUUCAUUUGUAUCCAGGAAAGCUAGAACAAGUAGUCUUUUAAUCUUAGCUAUAUUAUCACAGAUUCGACUUAGGAUAUGUUGCAUCUGUAUUUUCGUUUUAAAUAGCAACUCAAGUUCCUUCUCAGAGUUGGGCAUCUAUGUAUUUUGUUUAUUGUGUACAAAUGACCUGAAGACAGCAUUUUACCCACUUGAUAAGUUCUCAAAUAGUCUUUGUUUCUUAGUGCCGUCCAUAUCCUGAAUAAAGAUACCGUGUUUUCUUUCCUU